rnacentral:lncRNA from 1 species
GGCUGGUUUCAUAUGAAGAAGUUAUGAUUUUUUUUUUUUAAAACAACUAUCACUUCCCGUUGAAGCCACGCCUACCAUUGCCACUUGAAGCCAUGAAUCAGCAAUGAUACUCUCAUUGCUAGUUCCAAAACACCUACAGUCACGAGCCGACACUGAAUUGAUAUUAGUCUACUGUGAUAAUUGAUGUUUUCAGGUGUCCCAUUAGAGGCAUAUAAUUUGCCAACCACUAAGCGUCUGCUGGAUGAGAUCCUAGAUCGGUGAAGAUUUGUUGGAGUUUUUUUUAGUUGGUACCGCUGCCCUCUUCUGGGAUUUGUUGGGCUUUUUCUCAUUAUUUUGUAACUGUGGUGUCAGUUUCUUGGCCUGCAGCUGCUCAACAGAUGUGAGGGCAAUUGCCAGGGCAUGUAGCCGUGAGCCGCGUAGCUCAGCCGAUGUGAGCGGGCAACAAGGCAUGGAGUUUUUCCUGUCGGUUUUCGGUUCUAUAAAAACCGUCAGGAAUUUUCUCUGCAUGUGGGUGAGCGGCAGGUAGGUGCAGAUGAAAACGAUGUCUCACCUCCAAUGCAGAACGAGUCAUUUCUUCGUCCUUGUCGAUCUCAUUAUCAGGGG